CUUCUGGGGCUUGGGCCUGCUACACCUCAGGCUUCCUCUUCACAGUCACAGAGUGAGGGAGCUCCCUUCAUCCUUGGGCUUUGGCCACAGCUCACCUGCUGCAGGACACUCAGCAGCUUUCAGUAGUUCUUCCAGACAUCCAGUUGGAAUUGGGAGUUCCUGGAGGAGGAGGAGGUGAACCUGGAGCUGCCGCCGGCCUCUGGGCGCUCCUUGGUGGAAGGAGUGGGACUUGGUCCUGAGCCUGCCCCGGAUCCACCUACACCACAACCCCGGAGUCCCAGUCCCUGGAUGGGCUCAGUCCCACCCAGGCCAGACGCCCCGGAGCCCCGGAGCCCGGGUCCUCAAGCCCUCGCUGCCGCCGCUUCUCCCGGAGCCGGCCUCCCCCCCGCGCCACCUCAGCCUCUGCGGGGCUCUGGGAGGGCAGCGCCGAGGAUGCUCCAGGCCCAGCGGUGGCAUCCGGCCUCAGGCGGAUACUGACGCCCUGAGGGCGCGGAAUAGGGCAGCCUGCACAGGGCCCGCCGUCUCAGGCCUCGCAAAAAGAGCGGCCUCUCCAACCCCCGUACCGGAACCUCCCCGGAGGCCCCAGCCCCAAA
rnacentral:lncRNA from 1 species